ACCGGCUUCUAUGAACACAAGCGCAGGGAGCACCACCCUGCAGGAAGCAGAUCAGGCCUGAAAAGGCUUGUUCCUAAGUGGUGGACCUGUUAACCUUGCAGUAUGAUGGAGAAUGAGAGAGGAAGACACUGGGCACCCUGAUUGGCCUCCAUGCGCACAUUCGAAGGUUUCUGGUCACAGAAAUUCAAAAUGACUGCAGAAGGCUGAAGAUCAUUUUCCAGUUGCCCUCCCAAGUUGCAGCUCAUACAUUUUCCAUGAAGUCCACCUGAAUUUUCAGUGCUGUUUCCUGCCUCUGCAAUCUUACGACACUUUUUAUUGUGUUUCAGCAAGGUGACAAUUUAUCACUUA